AUUGAACGCUGGCGGCAUGCCUCACACAUGCAAGUCGAACGGUAACAGGUCUUCGGAUGCUGACGAGUGGCGUACGGGUGAGUAAUACAUCGGAACGUGCCUAGUAGUGGGGGAUAACUACUCGAAAGAGUGGCUAAUACCGCAUGAGAUCUACGGAUGAAAGCAGGGGAUCGCAAGACCUUGUGCUACUAGAGCGGCCGAUGGCAGAUUAGGGAGUUGGUGGGAUAAAAGCUUACCAAGCCGACGAUCUGUAGCUGGUCUGAGAGGACGAUCAGCCACACUGGGACUGAGACACGGCCCAGACUCCUACGGGAGGCAGCAGUGGGGAAUUUUGGACAAUGGGCGCAAGCCUGAUCCAGCAAUGCCGCGUGCAGGAUGAAGGCCUUCGGGUUGUAAACUGCUUUUGUACGGAACGAAAAGCCUUGGGUUAAUACCCUGGGGUCAUGACGGUACCGUAAGAAUAAGCACCGGCUAACUACGUGCCAGCAGCCGCCGUAAAAC
rnacentral:rRNA from 1 species